rnacentral:rRNA from 1 species
UACGAAGGGGGCUAGCGUUGUUCGGAAUUACUGGGCGUAAAGCGCACGUAGGCGGAUAUUUAAGUCAGGGGUGAAAUCCCAGAGCUCAACUCUGGAACUGCCUUUGAUACUGGGUAUCUUGAGUAUGGAAGAGGUAGGUGGAAUUGCGAGUGUAGAGGUGAAAUUCGUAGAUAUUCGCAGGAACACCAGUGGCGAAGGCGGCUUACUGGUCCAUAACUGACGCUGAGGUGCGAAAGCGUGGGGAGCAAACAGG